rnacentral:lncRNA from 1 species
AUACAAUACAAAACCCUUCUUCUUCCUCUCAUUGUUUCUCUCUACCACCAUUCUCUCUUUUACAAUUUUCUAUAUUAUUGGGCAACCGAUAUAGACUAGGUAAUCUGCCUACUACAGACGUGCACUGUAGAUUAGGCCCGCUGUGAGCCGUUUGGGUUGUAUCUUGGAGCCGUCGCUGACCGCCAAUACCUGCACGUGGGGAGGCAACAACGGUUUUAGGACAGUGCGUCUUUUGGC